UUGGUUUUUUAUUUGAUAUGAUUAUCAUUAGUACAACUGAGGUGGGUUGUUUUUGGGUUUAUCUCAAUCUGGGAGGGUUAUAGAUAGAAAAACUGAUUAGAUUUUCGGACUGAGCACCCAAAAAAUCUAAUAAGCGAUGGAAUCAUUUUUUUCAUAUUGAAGACCAAAUUAGGGUAUUUAUGGUAAAGGUUCCAAGGGCCAGAUUGAAAAACUAAGAUGAAUGAUUGUCAGGCUCACGAUCAGCAGCCCCAAAAACCUAACAAACAAUAUGUCACGUGAUGUUGUCAGUUAUUUUCGGCUCUGAUUAAAAUUUCCUCCCCCCACAUCAUUUUUGGAAUAGAAGGUCGAAUCAUUUUAUAUUCUUUUAAAAACUCACUAUUUCGAUCUUGAAUUAUAAUUUUAUUAAUUCCUUUCGUUUCAAAUCCAAUCAAUGCCAAAUCUAAAAUAUAUGACAGAAGUCUUUUUUUUUUUUUUAGAAUUUCUUACCUAUUAAUUUUUUUUUAAUUUCUAAAAACUUUUUUUUCUUUUUAAUUUAUGAAACUACUCAAAAAAUGGCUUUGGAAUUUUUCUUCAACUAAGUAUUUUGUAUGAACAAUAAUAAAAGAAACUUUUUAACAUUUUUACUCCGAGAUCGACCAGAUUUUUGCUCCUUUGCAAUUUUUAAUGUGAGGAAACUAAAAAAUGUUCCUAUUCAAAAAGAAGCCUCCAUAAAAAUUUGAAGUUUGUCUCAUUGAAAAAAAAAGAAAAAUGGAAAUUUUAGCCUCUUUAAAUACCCUUUAUUUCUCAAACUUUUUUCAGAUGCAAAAAAUUCCAAUUUUAACUUUAGACUCAAGAAAAAUUGAAUAGAAACGACUCAAAUGAGGAAGGAAUCUGUCAAGUGUUUUAAUUUAAAAAUUAAACUCACCUUGACCUUCGUAUUUUAAUUUUUUCCAAUGUGUGUCCAAAAUAAAAUCUUUCUAUCAACGAAAAAAAAAAUGUCCAAAUUGUUUACUAAUUAACGAAGAAAUACACAAGUUCCAUGCUAUUAUUGAUUUCCCUCACAAAAUCAUAUUUCAAGUACCUAUACAAAAAGGUAGCUACCUAUUUGAAAAGUGCACAUCUGACACCUGUAGGUGAUACAAGCUCGUUACCUUUCAACCCUUUAAAUAUGUACACGAUGACCCGAAAAUGUUACACACCUUGUAGAAGCAUUUGAGUGAUGUUGUUAGGUAUCUAGGUAUUAAUUUUCUUUGGAUUUUUAACUGAAUUCAUCUUGUAUUUAUCUAUUCAAUAACCAAUAGAAACAAUUUCAGUUUCCUUACCGAAUUCACCUCAUUUUUAAUUUAUCCCUUCAACAACUGAUUAAAAUUAAAAGUUUUGUCUGUUCAUUAUAAAGAAUUGAUUUCAACGACAUUGAUGCUCAAUAUUUAGUACUUACAAUAAUUCAACGCCUGUAUUUUCACAUUUUUCAACCUUGGUAACCCAGACUUUUGUGAAUGAACUACCUAUUCAUUCAGUUUUGAUAUUAAUUUUUGAUUUAGUACACGAAUAUGUGUAGGUACUUUAUCAUGUUCAGAGAUUACUAUGUACCGAUUUAACUAGAAAAAUUAAUAUGUAUUAUAGGAGGUAUUUGAGAUGAAAAAAUACUAAUUAAAAAGAUAACUUGAAAGAAGAUUAUUAGAUUAAUAAAUUUGAUCUAUUGAUUGAAUAUUUCUGGACAUUCAAUAUUGACAUUACCUGCUUAUGUGAGUGUAGUCAGACUUAUAUAAUACUAACAUCCUUUUAAAUCUUUGAAAGUGUGCAAAAUGAUUACAAUUGCUAUUAAACUUGUUAUUUUAUAUCUCUUUAUUUUAUCAUGUAAAGAACAGCGCGAGUUUUUUUUUACCUAAUGAAGAUAAGGUACGAGUACCUAAAUCUCUUACUGAUACCUACUGAACAGCAAGUGCAAGAGGUAUCUUUAGGAAAUGGAUGUUUUUGAAGAAUUUUCAAAUGAAAUUAUUUUAAAAUGUUGAAAAAAGAGACGAAUUUAAAGGUAACUUGAAGCAGGUAUUAAGGCAGGAUUAGAUGUAUAAAUCUACGAGUGUUUGCCAAGAAUGUUCAACAAAUAAUAUGCCAGGAAAGCAAUGAUCGAGCAGGGCUUGGUGAUGUCUCACUACCUGAAGUACUACAAGAAAACAGUAUCCGACAAAAUUUGAAAUUAAUGAAAAGUCCUAAGGAUCAAAACACUGUAAUUACACUUUAGUUAUUAGUAUCUCUUUUAACAUUACCCCGAACUGCCACACUCCUAAAUCAAAAUAAUUUCUAAUAUAAUGAAAGUGAUUUAAGAUGUUUAGUUCUUUCUAGAUUUGAUUUUUUGAAUUGUAAAUAAUUACCUUGUUAUGUUGGCAUAAUUAUCAAGUUUUUUAAAACAGUUAUUUUUGUUACUUACAUACCUACAACUUUUGAUUUUGGUAUUUGUGGGGAAUCCUCAGAAUGAAAUAAUAAGUAUAUCAUGUAACUCAAUUUAAACAACAAUUUAUUGUUAGGUACUAAAAAAAGAGCAAAAGAAAUAUUUGUGUUGCA